GAUAUUCGGAAUAAAAUGUGUUUGGUGUUUGUGAGUCUGCAGCGGCCCCGGCUCGGAGCCGCUGUCUCUGGUUUCAUCCUCCGCCUUUGUCCUCAUGCUUUCCCCGGAGUUCCUCCCCCUGCGGCGCUGGGCGGAGUUUCAUACCGGACUAGACGCUCCUUUUGUCGGAUUCGUUUCGACCUGACUCCCCGGGGUUUAACGCUGAAAAAUACACACUUUGAAAGUCCUGAAAUAAUCCUAACGAGCCCCGUGGUGUGCAGCGUGAACCCGGGCUUCUGUCUGAGCCGGAAGGAGGGAGGAGCCUGCUGCGUGAUGAACGGCAGCAGCAGCCUAUCUGCGUCUCAGAGCUCCAGGGUCAAAAGUGGACCAGAUGACUGGAGUAAGGAGGACUGUCUCACUCUGCUGGAGAGGAUUCGCAGUCUGCUGCCGGACGUAGACUCCAUGAAGUAUAAAACCACAGAGUCGCACUUCGACUGGGAGAAAGUUUGUUUCGGCAGCUUCACCGGAGACAUGUGUCGCCAGAAGUGGCAGAAAGUGUCGACUGAGGUUCGUAAGUACAGGACGAUGACGGAGCUCAUCGUGGACGCCAUCGAGUUUGUGAAGAAUCCGUACAAAGGAAAGAAACUGAAGACUCACCCAGAUUUCCCUAAGAAACCUCUGACCCCCUACUUUCGCUUCUUCAUGGAGAAACGAGCCAAAUAUGCAAAAAUCCACCCGGAGAUGAGCAACUUGGAUCUCACCAAGAUUCUCUCCAAGAAAUACAAAGAGCUGCCCGACAAGAAGAAGCAAAAAUACAUCACAGAGUUUCAACGAGAGAAAGAAGAGUUUGAGAAGAACAUGGCUCGAUUCAAGGAGGAGCAUCCGGAGCUGAUGGAGGACAGGAAGAAGUCCGAUCUGCCGGAGAAACCGAAAACUCCACAACAGCUGUGGUACAACCACGAGAAGAAGACGUACAUGAAGCUGCAUCCAGAGGUUAGUCCAAAGGAGCUGAAGGAGGCGCUGAGGAGACAGUGGUCCCAGCUCUCUGACAAGAGACGGCUGAAGUGGAUCAGCAAGGCCCUGGAGCUGCAGAAGGACUACGAGGACAGCAUGAGAGUAUAUCAUGAAGCUCAUCCAGAUGUGAACUCAGAUGAUCACGUUCGUUCCGUCCUCACCAAAGCAGAGCGACAACUGAAGGACAAGUUCGAUGGCAGACCGACAAAACCACCACCUAAUGGCUACUCUCUGUACUGUGCGGAGCUGAUGGUGAACAUGAAGGAUGUCCCCAGCACCGAGCGCAUGGUUCUCUGCAGUAAACAGUGGAAAGUUAUGACGCAAAAAGAGAAAGAUAUGUUCCAGAAACGCUGCGAGCAGAAAAAGAAGCAGUACGACGUGGACCUGAAGAGGUUUCUGGAGAGUCUGCCAGAAGAGGAACGAGACCGGGUCCUGACGGAGGAGAAACCGGGCGGGGGCAGAUUGAGUGUGGGUGUGGCUUCCAACCCUCGCCGAGCCAAGUCUCCGUCUCUCAAGGGUCGGUGUCGGGAGGUGGAGCCAGAAUUUGGGGUAGCUGCCGUAACGCCGAAAGAAAGACGGGACGGGAAGAAGACGGCGAAGCUUCCAGAGACGCCAAAGACAGCAGAAGAAACGUGGCAGCACAGCGUGAUCGGAGAUUAUUUAGUAAAAUACAGAAGCGACCGCAGGAAGACGCAGGCGGCGAUGGAGGCAACUUGGAAGUCGAUGGAGAAGAAGGAGAAGAUUCCGUGGAUCAAGAGGGCGGCGGAGGACCAGAAGCGUUAUGAGGUUCAGUACCAGCAUGUGAGGGAGCUGUUGGAGAUGAGGGCUCCGGCCGCAGGUCCGACUCAGAGGAAACCCAAGUUUGACGGGGAACCAAAGAAACCUCCAGUGAGCGGGUAUCAGAUGUUCUCCCAGGAGCUGCUGACCAAUGGCGAGCUGAACCACUUCAGUCUGAAGGAGCGGAUGGUGGAGAUCGGGAAGCGAUGGCACAAACUGAGUCAGAGUCAGAAAGACAAGUACAAGAAGCAGGUGGAGGAGCAGCAGGUGGAGUACAAGGCCGAGCUGGAGGCCUGGGUCAAGGUACGCCGAGUGACCUCAUCACUGUCAAUCACUUGUUUUUCAUUCGUUAAUUCCGUGUUCAUCAAACGUUGUCUUCUUCUGCUUCAGUCUCUCUCUCCUCAGGAUCGAGCCGUCUACCAGGAGUUCUCUUCCUCAGUGAGUUUCUUCACCUGCAGGGGGCAGCCUGCUCCACGCGAGUUCAUAAUUAAACACGACUCUUUGAUAACAUAAUAUUAGUAGAAAUGAAGCCUGAGUAACAUGAAUACUGUGUCCGAGGGCUUCUGCGAUAUUAGCACUAGGGCUGCACACUUUUUUUUAAUCGAUUAAUCUAACGAUAAUUUUGUAUUACUUGAUUAAUAUAAUAAUGUAUUUAUCAAAAAUAAAAUACAAAAACUUGUCAUUUAUAUUUAUUUAAUCAUCUCUUAAAUACAAACAAAUCUGACAAAACCCAAAUGUGCCUGGAAGUCGCUAUUGCUAAUCUGCCUUUUAAAGUUCUAUAUUAGAGCUUGAUGGACGAGGCUCUAAUAUAGGACAAUCUACAUUUAGCUGAAAUUAAUACAUUUGUGUCCCCAUUUCUUCUUUUUCUUAAUAUAUGACUACAUUACAAAUAUAAACAAUCUCAACAAACAUGAACAACUAAACAACUUGAACUUUCCUCUGACAGGAUUCACUACCGUAAAGACGGGAAAAGCAGCGCAGGUUAAAAUAGAAGCGCUCGGUCGCAUCUGAUAACGAGUGUCAUGUCCGUCAAGCAUGACAUCAUCAGUGACAUCAGAGAGGAGAACAAUAGACAAUCCUUCAUUAAUAGUUUUGUGAGGUAUAACGUUAGCAUUAGCAGAAACGUCGCAGCACCACUAAAGCUCGCAGCAGCCCCGGAGCUAAAGUCCACGUGACGGCGAAAGGGAAGGCGGUCGGUUCAAGAGCCGCAACACCGGG